rnacentral:rRNA from 1 species
UGGGGAAUAUUGCGCAAUGGGCGAAAGCCUGACGCAGCAACGCCGCGUGAGUGAUGAAGGCCUUCGGGUUGUAAACUCCUGUCAUGAGGGAACAAGAAAGUGAUAGUACCUCAAGAGGAAGAGACGGCUAACUCUGUGCCAGCAGCCGCGGUAAUACAGAGGUCUCAAGCGUUGUUCGGAUUUACUGGGCGUAAAGGGUGCGUAGGCGGUGGCGUAAGUCGAGUGUGAAAUCUUCCGGCCUAACCGGAAAACUGCACUCGAUACUGCGUCACUAGAGGACUGUAGAGGAGACUGGAAUUCACGGUGUAGCAGUGAAAUGCGUAGAUAUCGGGAGGAACACCUGUGGCGAAGGCGGCCACCUGGUUGGAUACUGACGCUGAGACGCGAAAGCGUGGGGAGCAAACAGGAUUAGAUACCCCAGUAGUCCCUGAGCGGGCUGGCAAGGCGCAU